AGAACGAACGCUGGCGACGUGGAUAAGACAUGCAAGUCGAACGGGUUUAGUUUCGGAGCAAUUCGGAAUUAGGCCAGUGGCGAACGGGUGCGUAACACGUGAGUCAUCUGCCUGAAAGUGGGGGAUAGCUCGCCGAAAGGCGAAUUAAUACCGCAUGUGGUUGUAAGACCAAAGCCGGGGCAACCUGGCGCUUUUAGAGGAACUCGCGGCCUAUCAGCUUGUUGGUGAGGUAACGGCUUACCAAGGCUUCGACGGGUAGCUGGUCUGAGAGGACGACCAGCCACACUGGAACUGAGACACGGUCCAGACACCUACGGGUGGCAGCAGUCGAGAAUUUUUUCUCAAUGGGGGAAACCCUGAAGGAGCGACGCCGCGUGGAGGAUGAAUGCUUUCGGGUUGUAAACUCCUGUCAUUUGGGAACAAAGCCUUACGUUAACUGCGUGGAGGUUUGAUAGUACCGAAAGAGGAAGAGACGGCUAACUCUGCGCCAGCAGCCGCGGU
rnacentral:rRNA from 1 species